UUCUGUGAUCUUCCACAGCUUUCUUGAACUGUUUUGGAAGCCUUCCACUUCCAUGCAAUGGAGGAGUUCAACCAACAGCUCAGGAAAGUUGUGGAACAUUACUGAGAG